rnacentral:rRNA from 1 species
UAAAGGCGUAAGCCGCUCGAUGACGGGCUCGCGGCCUAUUAGCUAGUUGGCGGGGUAACGGCCCACCAAGACGAUGAUCGGUAUCCGGCCUGAGAGGGCGCACGGACACACUGGAACUGAAACACGGUCCAGACUCCUACGGGAGGCAGCAGUGGGGAAUUUUGCGCAAUGGGGGAAACCCUGACGCAGCAACGCCGCGUGGAGGAUGAAGUCCUUCGGGACGUAAACUCCUUUCGAUCGGGACGAUAAUGACGGUACCGGAAGAAGAAGCCCCGGCUAACUUCGUGCCAGCAGCCGCGGUAAUACGAGGGGGGCGAGCGUUGUUCGGAAUUAUUGGGCGUAAAGGGUGCGUAGGCGGCUUGGUAAGUCUUAUGUGAAAUCUAUGGGCUCAACUCAUAGACUGCAUGAGAAACUGCCGGGCUCGAGUGUGGGAGAGGUGAGUGGAAUUUCCGGUGUAGCGGUGAAAUGCGUAGAUAUCGGAAGGAACACCUGUGGCGAAAGCGGCUCACUGGACCACAACUGACGCUGAUGCACGAAAGCUAGGGGAGCAAACAGGAUUAGAUACCCUGGUAGUCCUGGCCCUAAACCAUGAUUGCUUGGUGUGACGGGUACCCAAUCCCGCCGUGCCGUAGCUAACGCGUUAAG